UGAGUUUAAGUGAUUCCCCUGCCUCAGCCUCCUGAGUAGCUGGGAUUACAGGCAUGCACCACCACACCCGGCUAAUUUUGUAUUUUUAAUAGUGACGGUGUUUCUCCAUGUUGGUCAGGCUGGUCUCGAACUCCCAACUUCAGGUGAUCUGCCUGCCUUGGCCUCACAAAAUGCUGGGAUUACAAGCGUGAGCAACGGCGCCCGGCUCCAGGCCUCUUUCAACUUUUAUAAGUAGCUAAAAUUUAUAUACAUCUCUGGAAUGCCAUGCCGAAACUCAUUUCACAACCCUAACCUCCUGCCUGAAAAUUCAUAAAUGUUCCUAAGGAAAAUCCACCACCAUACCUUAAUCCUCCGGCUGAGGUUCCCCGAACCCUCAUGCAGUGUUCUUCCUUUCUAAUAAACUUUCCUUUUUUCAAGCCUAUAAUGUUGUCGGUAAACUCUUUUUACCAAUCCGCGUGUGGAUCACUUACUAGUUAGACAUUAUAGAUAAAGUUUGAAAUAAAAAUAGUAAUGAUGCUGGAAAGGGGUCCCGAUCCAGACCCCAAGAAAGGGUUCUUGAAUCUCACACAAGAAAGAAUUCAGGGCAGGUCCGUAAAGUGAAAGCAAGUUUAUUUAAAAAGUAAGGGAAUAAAGAAUGACUACUCCAUAGGGCUGCUGCUUGCCCGUUUCUAUGGUUAUUUCUUGAUGAUAUGCUAAACAUGGGGUGGAUUCUUCAUACCUCACCUUUUAGACCAUACAGGGUAACUUUCUGACGUUGCCAUGACACUAGAAAAACAGGCUAGAAAAUAGACAUGGUAACUAAAUCCGGUUUUUAAGCUGUUAAUUAAAAUAGGCAAAGACACAAGUAAAAAAACUAAAUCCCUCAAUCACUAUAAAUAAUUCCAUUUUUUGUGUCAUUGAACACUGUCUUACCAAAAUUU
rnacentral:lncRNA from 1 species